CCUUUUAAAUCAUUUGACUACAGUGUUAUGUAUGUUGGAGUUAAAUCUCUGUUCUAAACCUUUUUUUUAAUUCUUUAAGAAUCCCUAUUUGGUGAAGAAUAUUGUUGAUUGGUUUAUUAGUAAAAUGCCUGCAAGUUAUUUAUCUCUUUUUUGGGUUUACUUUUUGUGGCACUUGCUACAAGGAUUCUACUCAACUCCGAGGGACACAUCCUGGGUGUCUUACUACAUUUAUUGUGCUCAAAAAGUCUGUAUAAUGCCCCUCCUAUAUAGCCAUGUUUUCUCUGCCAUCACCCAUAAACCGCUAUAAACCACCGCUAUCAACCACCACCAGCAUGAUACCACAGUGCAUACCCCUGCCAACAAAUACUUCCUUAUGCCCCAUGGCAGACCAAACCAUGGCCUGUCAUUUAUAUGGCCAUAAAAUUUUUAACAAGCCUUGAGUGUCAACUCUGAUCAAGGCACAUAAUUUGCAGCUGAGACCAUGUACCUGGAGGAACUCCACCACCUUCACACAACAACACUUCUACAAAAGUGGCAACACACAGUGCCAGUUCAGCAUCCCCGAUGUUCUGGACAGCAGGGAAGCACAUGGACGCCAUGCAGAUUGGCUGGAGUUUGCCAAAAAGAGAACUGCUGGAGACCGAGGAACAAGACAUACCCUGAAGCCACCACACCCCGCCAGCUUCUUGGGAACCAGCACAUCACCACUCCGCAACCUCUGAGGACUUUUCUACAUGAGACUAUCUGCAGCCCAAGCUUAAGUCAGCUUUAUUUCAAAUACUUUUCUUCUGCCUUUUUUUUUACACUAGCAAACCUAUCUCAACUGCACUAUAAAUAAUGAUGACUUUUACCAGUGCACUAUGUACUGCUUAUAGAGGAGAGGAAAGAUUAUAAAGCAUUGUCAUUAAUACAUUUUGAUAACUUUACUUUUGUGUGUGCAUGGGUGUGAGAUGGAAUGAGGUGCGUCUUUGUCUUGAAGAAAGUUUACAUAAAAACGUUUGCAUCUGUUUUGUUAGCAGGCACACUGCACUUCCUCUUUACUGUGAUGUUAGUGAGUGUGUUGGAGUUGAACAGCUCUGUUCUGGGCUCUUUCUUAUCACUAAGAAUGGACUAUUUAUUAAAGGAAAUGCUUUUUCUAUUAAAUGGUUUAUUGGUAAACUGCCUUCAAGGCAUUCAUCACCUUUCUGGAUCUACUUUUUGCUGGACUUGCUACAAGGACUUUACUGAGAUGGACACAGCUUGGAUUUCUACCUACUUCCUGUUUAAAGGAAAUUAUCUACAAUUCUGUACAAUGAGAGGAUCAGAUCAGCCCACAGUGGACAACAUGCAAGUCCUCAAGCUGAACUAGUGACAGCACAUGUAGCUUCCAGUUUCUCGAACAUCAUGUCCAAUUCUAUCCCAUUUGAUCAAUUCAAACUGUUUAACACUGAAUAUGUACAUGUUUUCUUGCUUUAGUCUGACAAUGAUAUUUUUGGUCCUUGGUUUACAAUGGACCUUAUUCACUUGGUAAUUUAUCAUAAAAAGUUGUUGACAGUAAAAUCUAGGUAAACCAGCUGUAAUAAAUUGUUGUACUGUGUUUUUUACAGUAAAAUUCUGGCAACCACAGCUGCUAGUAAUUUACUGUAAAC